rnacentral:rRNA from 1 species
GAUGAACGCUGGCGGCGUGCCUAAUACAUGCAAGUCGAGCGAACGGACGAGAAGCUUGCUUCUCUGAUGUUAGCAGCGGACGGGUGAGUAACACGUGGAUAACCUACCUAUAAGACUGGGAUAACUUCGGGAAACCGGAGCUAAUACCGGAUGAUAUUUUGAACCGCAUGGUUCAAAAGUGAAAGACGGUCUUGCUGUCACUUAUAGAUGGAUCCGCGCUGCAUUAGCUAGUUGGUAAGGUAACGACUUACCAAGGCAACGAUGCAUAGCCGACCUGAGAGGGUGAUCGGCCACACUGGAACUGAGACACGGUCCAGACUCCUACGGGAGGCAGCAGUAGGGAAUCUUCCGCAAUGGGCGAAAGCCUGACGGAGCAACGCCGCGUGAGUGAUGAAGGUCUUCGGAUCGUAAAACUCUGUUAUUAGGGAAGAACAUAUGUGUAAGUAACUGUGCACAUCUUGACGGUACCUAAUCAGAAAGCCACGGCUAACUACGUG